CUUAGACAGGGGCUGGGGAUUUAGCUCAGUGGUAGAGCGCUUACCUAGGAAGCGCAAGGUCCUGGGUUCGGUCCCCAGCUCCGGAAAAAAAGAACCAAAAAAAAAAAAAAAAAAAAAAAACCUUAGACAGAGAGGCUUUCCCAGAGACUAUAAAGCGCUCUAUGCCCUGAGGCAGACUGACAUUUAUAGCACAGGAAGAGAAAAAGACUCCAUACUAGGUGAGGAAAGACAGAAGAAUGUGAGGUCUAGAGAGCCAAUAGAAGUCUUUCAGUGGGGCUGGGGAUUUAGCUCAGUGGUAGAGUGCUUGCCUAGGAAGCACAAGGCCCUGG
rnacentral:lncRNA from 1 species